GCCAAUUAUCUUAACUCUAGAAUGUCGAAGACUUGGUCUAGAAGUAUUUAUACUGCAAUCAAUUUAAUUACCAAAUCUACUCACUGGAUAGCUAAACUACCAAGUCAAUUAAGGGUGCAUUUAGUUCAUGAUUGGAAUCAAAGUUAGAAUGGAUUGAAAUGAGAAUCAGAAUGAUCGUAUCUUUCGACAUGUUUGGUUUAUUAUAAGAAUC
rnacentral:lncRNA from 1 species